AACGAACACUCGGAUUCAACGAGAUUUUAGGUCAGGCCCGGCGACCUCGUUGAAUCCAAGUUCCACUGUAAACAAGUGAAAUGUUAAAACAAGUAUUCUGAAGAAAUUAUUGGACUGGAGUUAGGUGAGGGAAAAGUAGUGUUCAACAAAUUCACCGGAGCUUGUCAUAAGUGGACCCAGCUGGAAUAUCUUGACUCUCUGUCAUUCAUGCCCUUUAUUCGUUUUGCAUGUAGGCUAUAUAUUAUAAAAAUAUAUUUCUGUACCUCAUUACUGUCACUAUUCUUAUCUUUUAUUUAUGUUCUUCUCUACGCCUCAGUUAUACUCCUGUGUAUCCAAGCCAUUUACAUCUCAAGGAAAGUGCAAUUUUGGACGGCAUCUCCUGUUCAUGCUGUUUUCACAAAGCUUUAACGCAAAAUAUAUGUGUCACGUUGAUUCUCAUUGAAAUUUUCAUGUCGUCGAGUCUUUUCUGACUUGUAAUUUUCGUCCAUCUUGACAUUUCUGCCACUUGAUUUCUUUUACACAUGUAUAUCUCUGGGCUUUAAACCACGGAAAUUCUUUAGAAAGGAACUGUAAAUUAUUUCUCUCUGUAUCAAUUUCUUUAUAAUAAUUUAGCAAAGUUUGAACAUUUUUUUCAUAAUUUCUGAUUAUUUUCCUUUAUUAUUCUUUGUUAAAAUUAACAGAAUCGCAUAAUUUCACUUUUUUGGGCUCAGUUUGCAUAAUUUCAGAAUUUUUCUUGCAUAAAACGACGGGGACAGAUAUGGUGGCGUCUGCUUUAACCGAAAUCUGCAGGACCCUUGAAUUCUCUUCAAUGAAGCUGGGUUUUAGAUUUAGACAAGUUGUUCAAAUAGAAGAUAAAAAAUCUGAGAAUUUAUUUCCUGCUGGUUUACAGCCGUUCUCAGGUUCAACAGUCCGUUGAAGCAGAUUCCACUGUAGGCCUACUAUAUCUCUCAGUUUUGGUUAUCAGUGGAGAUUUUUCUUCAUUGGUCUUGAGUCUUGUUGAUGUUCCGUUGUACUGGCAUAAUAAUAAUAUAUAUUUAACCCUCAGAAAAUGUUUGUUUGUGCCAUGAAAAUUGGGCGUUACUUAUACAAAAAUUGAAGUGACUGAUUUUAGACUACACAUCUAGAAUUUUACCAUUCCCAUUUAUUUGUAACUUCAACCCAUGUUAAAGGUGACCCACACUAUGCUGUGAACCAACUUGAAGACAACCACUCUUAUUCACUUAUGCAGUUGCCGGCGCUGUAAAACUCUUACAAACUGAAAAUUCGGCACAUACAUGAUGCAUCUAUUACUAUCAGAGCAGUGCAGAACUGCAAAACCUUUUCAGGCAAUUGACGAGACAGAACAGUUUUGAUUUCGACAACUUCAGCCUUGCUCAACUGGACUGAUGACACAACAUGACAGUAAUGAAACACUGUGUUCUUCUGCUUGGGGGGGGGGGGGGGGGGGGGGGGCAACUGGUGACUUUACUUGCCCAUGGAACUGCUUUCUCUCUAUGAUUAUAUUAAUAUUAUAAUAAUAAUAUCUUGUUGAUUUAUUUACUGUCUACUACUAAUAAUCACUUUAUUCACAUUGCUUUGCUUAUGCGGGGUCUCUACCAGUCUUAUGAGUCUUAUGGACUGGCUCUGAGUGACAGCUUGAGUCGCAUAUGUGGACAGAUCUAUACUGUGCCAAUGAUGCCAAACAACAUUAUAUUUAAUAAUUUACGGUCAGUUCAUCUCUACCUGGGACAAAGCAUUGAAACAGGUAUGUGUAGGUACAAGGUUGUCAACGCUCACCCACUUUUGAUGAAGUUGUCAUAAAGAGCGAAUAUUUGUAGUGAAGCAGUGAAAUUCGCGUUGCUAUCAUACUAUCUCAGGACUACCCCAUAUCUCACUGGCUAUUGAGAAUUUGAGAGCUUUAUCUCAUCUUACACUAAACCAAAACCAGCUUCACCUGAUGUAAUUUUGUUUGUUGUUGAAUAAUUUGAUGUUAUAUCGUAAGGUGUCCCUGAUUGGGUUUUGAAAAAGUUUGCAUGCCUGCCUGCGAUUGUUUUCUUUGGUCGAUAUUAUAACGUCAAUUUUUCAUUAAGCUUUUCUCUGCAUUGUCAAGGAUGAAAGGUCACUGUUUAUUUCAAACUUUCAUUGUCAAGGAUGAAAGGUCGCUGUUUAGUUCAAACUUUCAUUGUCAAGGAUGAAAGGUCGCUGUUUAGUUCAUCAAACUUUCAUUGUCAAGGAUGAAAGGUCACUGUUUAGUUCAAACUUUCAUUGUCAAGGAUGAAAGGUCAUUGUUUAGUUCAAACUUUCAUUGUCAAGGAUGAAAGGUCUUGUCAAGGAUGAAAGGUCACUGUUUAGUUCAAACUUUCAUUGUCAAGGAUGAAAGGUCAUUGUUUAGUUCAAACUUUCAUUGUCAAGGAUGAAAGGUCACUGUUUAGUUCAAACUUUCAUUGUCAAGGAUGAAAGGUCAUUGUUUAGUUCAAACUUUCAUUGUCAAGGAUGAAAGGUCACUGUUUAGUUCAAACUUUCAUUGUCAAGGAUGAAAGGUCAUUGUUUAGUUCAAACUUUCAUUGUCAAGGAUGAAAGGUCACUGUUUAGUUCAAACUUUCAUUGUCAAGGAUGAAAGGUCAUUGUUUAGUUCAAACUUUCAUUGUCAAGGAUGAAAGGUCAUUGUUUAGUUCAAACUUUCAUUGUCAAGGAUGAAAGGUCUUGUCAAGGAUGAAAGGUCUUGUCAAGGAUGAAAGGUCUUGUCAAGGAUGAAAGGUCACUGUUUAGUUCAAACUUUCAUUGUCAAGGAUGAAAGGUCGCUGUUUAGUUCAAACUUUCAUUGUCAAGGAUGAAAGGUCUUGUCAAGGAUGAAAGGUCACUGUUUAGUUCAAACUGUCAUUGUCAAGGAUGAAAGGUCACUGUUUAGUUCAAACUGUCAUUGUCAAGGAUGAAAGGUCACUGUUUAGUUCAAACUGUCAUUGUCAAGGAUGAAAGGUCACUGUUUAGUUCAAACUUUCAUUGUCAAGGAUGAAAGGUCACUGUUUAGUUCAAACUGUCAUUGUCAAGGAUGAAAGGUCUUGUCAAGGAUGAAAGGUCACUGUUUAGUUCAAACUGUCAUUGUCAAGGAUGAAAGGUCACUGUUUAGUUCAAACUGUCAUUGUCAAGGAUGAAAGGUCACUGUUUAGUUCAAACUGUCAUUGUCAAGGAUGAAAGGUCACUGUUUAGUUCAAACUUUCAUUGUCAAGGAUGAAAGGUCACUGUUUAGUUCAAACUGUCAUUAAGGCUCUACAAAUACCUGCUGCUAUGAGUGUAACAAGGCUUGGUAUAGAAUAAGACUACAUACUUUAACUACACCAUGGCAUGUUCUUUAUUCCCUUUCAUUCAGUUUUGCAUAAUACUUUGCACUCACAGCUCUCAGCACAAUAAUGUUACAUUUGGAACAUAAAAUGUGUAUUUACAUUUAUAAUAUAUAUAUAUAUAUACCUGCACAUACGUAUAAAUAUGUAUAUAUAUAUGUGCUCAUUUUCACAAAGAUAUUAUAAUAAUGUACAUGCAUGUGUGGAAUUUUCAGUACUUUCAUUUGUGCAAAUGAGUAUGAGUAAAAAUGAAAAAAACCCACAUU